rnacentral:rRNA from 1 species
AGUGAACGCUGGCGGUAGGCCUAACACAUGCAAGUCGAACGGCAGCACAGUAAGAGCUUGCUCUUACGGGUGGCGAGUGGCGGACGGGUGGGGAAUACAUCGGAAUCUACUUUUUCGUGGGGGAUAACGUAGGGAAACUUACGCUAAUACCGCAUACGACCUACGGGUGAAAGCAGGGGAGCUUCGGACCUUGCGCGAUUGAAUGAGCCGAUGUCGGAUUAGCUAGGUGGCGGGGUAAAGGUCCACCAAGGCGACGAUCCGUAGCUGGUCUGAGAGGAUGAUGACCCACACGGGAAGUGAGACACGGUCCAGACUCCUAGGGGAGGCAGCAGUUGCGAAGAUUGGACAAUGGGCGGAAGACUGAUCCAGCCAUACAGCGUGGGUGAAGAAGGGCUUCGGGUUGUAAAGCCCUUUUGUUGGGAAAGAAAAGCAGCAGGUUAAUCCCCGGCUGUUCUGACGGUACUCAAAGAAUAAGCACCGGCUAACUUCGUG